rnacentral:rRNA from 1 species
UUUGUUACUUCAAACCAAUCGGACUUCGGUCUGACAUCAAGUGAUAUUGAACAAUUUAGCUGAUCGCGCGGUCUAAGAACCGGCGACAUAUCCUUCAAAUGUCUGCCUUAUCAACUUUCGAUGGUAGAUUAUGCGCCUACCAUGGUUGUAACGGGUAACGGAGAAUCAGGGUUUGAUUCCGGAGAGGGAGCCUGAGAAACGGCUACCACAUCCAAGGAAGGCAGCAGGCACGCAAAUUACCCACUCCCGGCACGGGGAGGUAGUGACGAAAAAUAACAAGCUGGUCUCAAUGAGUUCCAGCAUUGUAAUGGGAACAAUUUAAAUCUUUUAUCGAGGAUCUAUUGGAGGGCAAGUCUGGUGCCAGCAGCCGCGGUAAUUCCAGCUCCAAUAGCGUAUAUUAAAGUUGUUGCGGUUAAAAAGCUCGUAGUUGGAUCUAGGACUAGGGCUACGGUCGUUCAGCUUGGACGUACUGUAUGCCCGACUCCUUUUCUCUAGUAUUCGAUUGUUGCUCUUAAAUGAGUGACUUUAGUUGCUGGAACUUUUACCUUGAAAAAAUUGAAGUGCUCAAAGCAGGUU